AUUUAUUUAUUCAUGUAUAUCCUUAAAAGAAAAAAGAAGAAAAUCCAUACUCCCUCCUAUCUUGAAAGUAAAUCAAAACCUUAUCCCAUAAACUUGGGUCUCAAUGUUCAAGUAUAAAUUUCUAAGUAAAACCUGAAUUAGAAACCAGCAUUCUGAAUCUAAACCUAACAGAGCAGCUCUGUAACCUAAUGUUGAGGAACAAUGCAUAUAGAUUCAAUCCCUCCAUCUCGAGGGAUUAGGGUUUAGGGUUAUGGCGCUAAUUACCCAAACCCUAAAACUAAUCUUUCCGACCCUUCCAUGUGACUUUGUAGAAAUUCAGCGCGUGACAGUGUUGUACUCCUUGUCAAAGGUCCGCCUUCGUCCUGUGCACGUGCUUGGGGAGUAAACAAACCAAAAGCGCACUUUCCAUCUACUGACCUCGAAUUCGCGAAGCAGCUUGAGGGUUAUGGCGCUCGGUCCAUUCUCUUUUCUCUCUUUUUCUCCCGAUACGCUGAACAGUCUCGUUGGCAACAGAAAAUAGCCGCAUGAGCAACUGCAAUCGAUCCUUCCUACGCUUCUCCACUGUACUCCACUCUACUCACGUCAACGAGUCUGUUGUUUCGUGUUGUGCUUCCCCGUCGUAAACGUACAUUUGUGAACAGAAUGCUGUUUCACUGCCUUCCAGAAGAAUGGCCUGUGCGCCGUGAACUGGUGAUAAAUCUGGUGCGGUAUCGAGUAGAUCCAACAGUUGAAGCACGCGUGAAUUGUCGAUGUGAAGCAUCUACGCGGGCUCUAUCGUGGGCUCUAUCGUGGGCUCUAUCGUGGGCUCGUCGUUGUCGAAAUACGAAUUGGGGGACCCAUUCUUGGAGUGCAACGAUGACGGCAUUAUUCAUUGUGAACUGUGCGUGGUUGGUAUUUGGUGCGACAGAAUUGCGAGCCAUGCGGUAGAACUGCAAGUUCAAGGAUUCCUCCGCGACAUGCUUCUUGCACUCUGUUGUGGAGGCUCGGAAAACAUACCUGUUUAAUGCUUUUUACUAGUAUGCGGUGGAACAAUGUGUUUGUUGAUGAAUAUGUAUUUUAAU
rnacentral:lncRNA from 1 species